rnacentral:pre_miRNA from 1 species
GCCCCGACGGUGGCCCGCAAAAGGGCAGCACUUCCCUUGCUCUGGACUGGAAAGUGCUUCCCUUUUGUGUGUCACCGCCCGCCG